rnacentral:rRNA from 1 species
UACGUAGGGGGCGAGCGUUGUCCGGAUUUAUUGGGCGUAAAGAGCGUGUAGGCGGCCAGGUAGGUCUGCUGUGAAAACUCGAGGCUCAACCUCGAGACGUCGGCGGAAACCAUCUGGCUAGAGUCCGGAAGAGGAGAGUGGAAUUCCUGGUGUAGCGGUGAAAUGCGCAGAUAUCAGGAGGAACACCAAUGGCGAAGGCAGCU